GAUGAACGCUGGCGGCGUGCUUAACACAUGCAAGUCGAACGGUGAAGGCGGAGCUUGCUCUGCUGGAUCAGUGGCGAACGGGUGAGUAACACGUGAGCAAUCUGCCCCUGACUCUGGGAUAAGCGCUGGAAACGGCGUCUAAUACUGGAUACGAGCUGCGAAGGCAUCUUCAGCAGCUGGAAAGAAUUUCGGUCAGGGAUGAGCUCGCGGCCUAUCAGCUUGUUGGUGAGGUAAUGGCUCACCAAGGCGUCGACGGGUAGCCGGCCUGAGAGGGUGACCGGCCACACUGGGACUGAGACACGGCCCAGACUCCUACGGGAGGCAGCAGUGGGGAAUAUUGCACAAUGGGCGAAAGCCUGAUGCAGCAAUGCCGCGUGAGGGACGACGGCCUUCGGGUUGUAAACCUCUUUUAGCAGGGAAGAAGCGAAAGUGACGGUACCUGCAGAAAAAGCGCCGGCUAACUACGUG
rnacentral:rRNA from 1 species